UCACUCCUUGCGGAGGCAGUGUCCCCAGAGUGCCCGGCUAGAACCGAUGGCAACUAGGGAAAGGGGUUGCGCUCGUUAUGGCACUUAAGCCGACACCUCACGGCACGAGCUGACGACAACCAUGCAGCACCUUCACAGAGGCCCCGAAGGGCAUCACCAUCUCUGGAUCUUUCCUCUGCAAUUCAAGCCCGGGUAAGGUUCCUCGCGUAUCAUCGAAUUAAACCACAUGUUCCUCCGCUUGUGCGGGCCCCCGUCAAUUCCUUUGAGUUUCACCGUUGCCGGCGUACUCCCCAGGUGGGAUGCUUAACGCUUUCGCUUGGCCGCCGACUGUAUAUCGCCGACAGCGGGCAUCCAUCGUUUACCGCGCGGACUAC
rnacentral:misc_RNA from 1 species